UGGGAGUGGGUUGCAAAAGAAGUAGGUAGCUUAACCUUCGGGAGGGCGCUUACCACUUUGUGAUUCAUGACUGGGGUGAAGUCGUAACAAGGUAACCGUAGGGGAACCUGCGGUUGGAUCACCUCCUUACCUUAAAGAACCUGCCUUUGUAGUGCUCACACAGAUUGUCUGAUGAA
rnacentral:rRNA from 1 species